CAAACAGUGGCAGUGGACGCUUCCUGGGGACCUUUGUGCGGCCACAUCAGCAGGAUGAAGCUGCAUCAGCAAUGAGCACCAAGAGCAGCUACCCCGAGCAGGAGCAGUAUCAUCAGUGGUAGGUGGAGAUGCCAGGGCAGCAUGAGCCAAUAAUUUCUGGGACCAUCCGGUGUUAACCCCUGCCAUGCCAGCAACUGCUGCAGCAUUGUCCCCGGUUGCACUGUGUCCUGCCCGGCCCCACAGGCAUGCAGGAGGCCCAGGUGGCCCAUUGAACAUCAUGUGAGGCAAGGAGCUGGGGGCUGACAGCGGCCGUGGGCCAAGUCGUUAUGACCAUCUGCUCUAUGCUGUGCCAGGCUGAUGGCUGCUAUAAAGAGCGUGCGUGCCACAGAGCGUGGGGGAUCUGUUGGUAACAGGAGCUGAAGGACCUCAGAGAGGAGCUGACUCUGUCUUUUCAGCUCUGUCUAAUGUAUAUUUAUCUGGACAACAAAUGCUGAAAUAUCCCUGAGCUUGCAGGCAUUGCACAAGCUGCGGGAGGGAUGGCAGCUUCCUCCCUGCCAUUGGCCACACCAUAAAGCAUGCUGCAGGCACUAAAAAGCCAAGGCAGCGGUAUUGCUGAGCCCUGUAGUGGUGCAGGAAUCACUCUCCAAAUUCAAGAUGUUCUCUGUAUUUAUUUUUCCAUCUAGCUCCAUUUGCUGACACCGAGCAGCCCAUGGCUUCAGGCAGCCAGCGCCUGCGCUACAGAUCUCUGUUCAUCUCUGCCAAGUGCUGAAGUCAGACAACUGGCUCCGGCUGGAGACAGCUCUGGUUGCUCACACUGGGAUUAGCACGUAAACUGGUCCAGUCCCACCAGAGAAGCCGAGCAUGGCCUUCUCUUUUACCCCUCUGGCUGCUGUUGCCUCUGUAAAAGGUGUCUGAUAUGACUUUGCUUUUGACUUUCUGCAAAAGGCUGUUAUAAUAAAAGG